rnacentral:rRNA from 1 species
AUUGAACGCUGGCGGCAGGCCUAACACAUGCAAGUCGAGCGAGCGGCGGACGGGGGAGUAAUGUAUGGGGAUCUGCCCGAUAGAGGGGGAUAACUACUGGAAACGGUUGCUAAUACCGCAUACUAUCGGCUGAACCCAUAUGGGAUUAGCGAGUAGGUGGGGUAAAGGCUAACCUAGGCGACGAGCUCUAGCUGGUCUGAGAGGAUGAUCAGCCACACUGGGAGUGAGACACGGUCCAGACUCCUACGUGAGGCAGCAGUGGGUAAUAUUGCACAAUGGGCGCAAGCCUGAUGCAGCCAUGCCGCGUGUAUGAAGAAGGCCUGAGGGUUGUAAAGUACUUUCAGCGGGGAGGCGUUACCCGAAGAAGAAGCACCGGCUAACUCCGUGCCAGCAGCCGCGGUAAGAG